GGCAUGGUGAGUUGUCCAAAGGCCGCAAUUUCAUCAAAACACUUUGCAAUUCAGUUAGUCGUACUGAUGAACCUGUAAUUGUUUUAAUCACGUUAUUUAAGAUUAUUUCUCUUCUAAUCCUGCCCGAAUCUGUUAAAGUUUAUCAUUUGGUAAUGUCUAAAUUAAACUUUCUGUGGUGCAGAUGCAGUGACAGAUCUAAAAUGGACAUUCCCAUUGCCUACGGAUGUGUUUCAGAAAAAGGUCUUAACCCUGCUGUUUGACCUGCGCGAUCAGUACAAAAAAGCAGAACCUGCCUCUUCAGCCGUGCACAUUUUGAGGAUGGAGACUAUGGUGGAUUUUGAGGCAGAGGAGCAACGCCUCUGUGAUGCGCAAGCUUUUGAUACCCUGGUGCUGCAAAUUGCACGUAUUGGAGG